UGGGGAAUAUUGGACAAUGGGGGCAACCCUGAUCCAGCAAUGCCGCGUGUGUGAAGAAGGCCUUCGGGUUGUAAAGCACUUUUGUCCGGAACGAAAAGUCCGUGGUUAAUAACCGCGGACGCUGACGGUACCGGGUGAAUAAGCACCGGCUAACUUCGUGCCAGCAGCCGCGGUAAUACGAAGGGUGCAAGCGUUAAUCGGAAUUACUGGGCGUAAAGCGUGCGUAGGUGGUUCGUUAAGUCUGUUGUGAAAGCCCUGGGCUCAACCUGGGAAUGGCGAUGGAUACUGGCGAGCUAGAGUACGGUAGAGGAUGGUGGAAUUCCCGGUGUAGCGGUGAAAUGCGUAGAGAUCGGGAGGAACAUCAGUGGCGAAGGCGGCCAUCUGGACCAGUACUGACGCUGAGGCACGAAAGCGUGGGGAGCAAACAGG
rnacentral:rRNA from 1 species